GGAAUGACUGCUCUCUUCCAACAACAUCACUGUGACAUCAUAAGAGAGAUUUGAAAAGCAUCUUGGAGGACUUUCUAUGUCAAGCUCCCCAGAUGCACACCUUGAGACUAGGAUUUGCUGCUUUUAAAGUGACAUAAUCAGACCAAGAUUUAAGGUAUGGAGUGAAAAAGGAUGGACCAGAAGCAGAGGGAUCAGAGAUGUUGAGAUCACCUUGCCUUCAGCAAAGGACAGAAGAAAUGAUGUUAUGGCAGUUCACAACCCACCCUUUAAGAAGACUGGCAGAUCCCACCUCAGUCUCUUAGAAACUUGAGAUACCUUGUAAGAAAGCUGACUACCUGUAAGAGAAACCACAUGGAAAUCAUGAGAAUCCUUGGGAAAGGAGAGAGGCUCUGCUGAGCCCAGCCUUCCAGCCAAUUCCAGCAGGGUGAUGGAGCAUCAUGCGUGAUUCUCACAGAGCUCAAUAGACGUCGGGCAAGUGGAAGGCCAUCAGACCUCUCAGGUCACAGCAUCCAGAGCAUCCCGUUGGACACAUAAAGACUAAGUUACUUAACUGUGGAGAUUCCUCUCUCUUUCUCUCUCUCCUUCUUUCUCCAAACCCAGAUGUUUGGCAUCUCACCAAUAUCGUCCAAGACCUUCUGGAUUGGGAACAAAAUAAAUGUAGAGAAAGAGGAAGCAGUUUUAGUGAAAGCACCACAGGGAGCAAACCAAUAAAAAAGCAGGAAACUCAG